UGCCCAAGAAUCCCUGGAAAUUCUGGCUAUAUCCUUUUUUUUCCAAAAGCACAGUCACCCUGGUGCUCUGGUCUGUGAACUACCUCACACCUUGGCCCUGGGUGAAAGACUUUGAAACUCUUCUUCUGGAACUGCUGGGAUCUGAACCUAGUUAGAGGUCGAGAAGUAAUCACAGAUAGUGUCCUGGAGUUUGCAGGAUGUCUAAGGAGAAAUAUUCCACUCUCCGAGAGCUCAACUAUUCCUAAUUAGUCAAGAAUUCUUCAAACUUCUAGAGUUCUAUAAGAGAGAACUCUGAGCACAAAUAUAAUGUUCAUUAAAGAGUGAUGAAGCAAAGGUGUUCAGUUAAUAUUUGGAGAAUUAAAGACAAGAUGAAGAGCAACAGCUACAGCUAUAGCAAAAGCAGCAAGAGCUGACGCAAGCUGGACUCUUAAGAGGGCAUUGUAUUUAUGCAGCUUGGUAUUUGGAUACUAGAGUGAAUGGCAAGUCCGUGCAACAUGUCAAAGAGAGAGACACAGAGGGGUUGGAGGGGAGGGAGGAGACUGACAUGUGGAUACAGUCAGAGGACAGAAGAGAGUAAAAACGUGACAAGGGGUGGUGGAGUUGCACCAUGUUAUAUUUAACUGAGAAUUCAAUUCCUCCCUUCAAUUCA
rnacentral:lncRNA from 1 species